UCCUCCCUAUUCUCUUCCCUACACCUGUAACACUGGCUUAUUUUUAUUUGUUUGUUUAUUUUAAAGUAGGCUUUACACCCAACUUGGGGCUUGAACUCAGGACCCUGAGAUUUAGAGUUCAUGCCAUAAUGACAGAGCCAGCCAGGUACCCCUAAUAUUGACUUUCAGAAACAUUUUAAAAAUUUUUGUUAUUUGAGGUGGGAGGAGCUGGGGAAGGAACAGAGGGAGAGGGAGAAGUAGGCUCUCUCCUGAGCAGGGAGCCUGAUGGGGGGCUCAAUCCUAGGACCCUGGGAUCAUGACCUGAGUCAAAGGCAAAUGCUUAACUGACCGAGCCCCCAGGCACCCUAACAUUGACUUUUUAAAGAGCCCAGGCCAGUUGUCUUGUGACAUGUGCCAACAUUCUGUAUUUAUGUCAUUUGACUUGUUCAUGUAGGCCUAGAAUUUCCAUUCUAGAGGCUGAAGACAUCUGGAAUACCUACCGCCUAGCCUUCUAGCUCUUUAUCAUUUCCCAGAGCUCCUCUGCCUUCAACCAUGAGGAACACCACGAGAUCACAGAUGAGCUGAACUCCAGCUUCAACUCUUCAAAGCAAUUGCCAGUUUCUUUUUUUUUUUUUUUAAAGAUUUUAUUUAUUCAUGAGACACACACACACACACACACACAGAAAGAGAGGCAGAGACACAGGCAGAGGGAGAAGCAGGCUCCAUGCAGGGAGCCCAACGUAGGACUCCAUCCCAGGUCUCCAGGAUCAUGCCCUGGGCUGAAGGCGGCGCUAAACCGCUGAGCCACCGGGCUGCCCCAAUUGCCAGUUUCAAGAAAAAAAGUAUUGGAGAUCCCUGGGUGGCUCAGCAGUUUGGUGCCUACCUUUAGCACUGCCUGCAGCCCAGGGAGUGAUCCUGGAGUCCCGGGAUGAGUCCCCCAUUGGGCUCCCUGCAUGGGGCCUGCUUCUCCCUCUGCCUGUGUCUCUGUCUCUGCUUCUGCCUCUCUCUCUCUCUUUCUCUGUGUGUGUGUGUGUCUUGUGUGAAUAAAUGAAUACAAUCUUUAAAAAAAAAAAUAAGUAUUUAAAGGAUACCACCAAAGCAAAAGCUUUUCUAAGGUCAAAAGAGAGGCGUCCUGGUUUAAUACUGAUCUCCUUGCAAGUCCAGGGUCUGCAGCGUGGUAGGCCCUCACAGACAGCACUCAGGGGGUCAAGGUCAGCUCGUGGUUUACGUGAACACAUAAAGGAAGGAUCAGCAUACAUGCUUCCUUUAACGUCCUUUUGCCUUACCAAAUGACUCUGGCUCCUGUUGAGCUAAAUACUAAACUGAAAGAAUAAAAAAAAGUGUAUUACCUCAACUUUUAUCAGACUUCAGAAUGGAAUAAAAAAAAACUUGCUAAUUUACACUGAGACGUAUUGGUACGUUAUGCUCUGAGCUCCAGGAAAUAUCUGCUCUUGCCCCAAAAUACGGUCUUUGCUUUUCAAGGGCAGCUCCCCAAGGACUUGGAGAGCUCUGAUAGACAGGCCCUCUGCUUGAACUAUUUCAAGGAAAACUAAUCCUGCAUCUACGGGAACACGGAGGAGUGUACCAUCCAUGUGCUUAAGAUGUAAACAGGCAGAGAAGGGGCAUUUAUUUAAUCUAUGAGAGAAAAUGCUCCAGUGGUAUUUGGGGCUGUGCUUCUGCAGUGGCUUAUAGACAGAGGCUAUUUUGGCCUGGUACCUCUCUAGAAAUACAGACUUAAAUAAACAAAAGUUCAACCUCCACCGAGGUGGUGUCCUUCUGCAAGUGUUUUUAAAAACGUGAUUGGCCAGCUAAGAAGUUUAUCCGCCUGGUGCCUCAAAUUCUCAAACAGUUUAUUUGAAUACCACGUGAAUGUCUAAUCUCCUACAAGUUUUGGGGCUUUAACAAGGUAAACAGAUGAGUGGCUGUGAAAGUAAACACUGCAUUUCCUCCCAGGCUCCAAAAUUCUACUCCCUCCAUCCCUUUCACUGGCCCCAGCCUUCCCCUUCCCAAGCUUGGUCUCUUGUACCCUGCAGAAGUACUGAAAUUGCAAAGGAGACAUUUUUAAUUAUAAGUACUACAGUAAUGAAUUCAAGUACACUCGUUUAUCAUAAAGGGCUUUCCCAUCUGUCUCUAAAGUAUACUUAAAAAGGCUGUGUAUUUGAUAACAUUAGCACUGAGCAUCUUCCACAUAUUAAUGUUCAGCAUUUUAGAUGUUCUUCGCUUCCCCCAACCCCUGAAGACAACACAGUUGUAGUUUGAGAAAAGGCACAUUUAUCUCUGUGUUUGGGAGUGCCUGUGUGGUCUCUUCCUAAUUUAUUUGCACUCUAAUCCUCAGGGAUAGCAUCCCAAUCCCCCAUAGGCAAAGGGAGAUUAGGGAAUGGGGAUGUCUGCUUCUCCCCAUUCUGACAGAGAAAGGAAAACAACUUCCUCAAGUCCCUCAAGUUCAUCUGGCCACUGUACAAAUUGUUCUUGAGCAUGGAGGGUUUCCAAAAGCCCUAAUUAGCAACUCACAGCAAACAUUUCUUUGCAUUAGCUAAUGAUCCGGCUACACUUGUAAGCAAACAGAACCAACAUAUCUAAUCAAUGCUGAAAAACCAACCAAAUGCCUAUUAAACAUCUGGAUGUAAUUUUCUAGUUAGAACAAAAUGAAAACAUAUGCAGGUUCCUUUGAUCUGCAUCUUAACAAAGAAAUUGUUGAUAAAAAAGCACACUGGUCAGUCAAUGUGUCAUUUUCAUAAACUACUCGUUUCUCUUCAAAUGCUCCCAGUUUAAUUUAGUUGGUUUCCUGCAAUCUCUAAUUUUACCAUAUUGUGUGAAACCGCAAGAGAUUCUUUGGAUGUGAUUUUAUUUGAGGUUUUACUGCUGCAUGGAUCGGCUACUGAUUUUUUUUUUUUUUUCCUUUCUUUGCUUUCUCUCUCCAUGCCCCACACCCAUCCUGCC
rnacentral:lncRNA from 1 species